rnacentral:rRNA from 1 species
UACGAAGGGGGCGAGCGUUGUUCGGAUUUACUGGGCGUAAAGGGCGCGCAGGCGGCGCAUUUUGUCAGGCGUGAAAGCCCCGGGCUUAACCUGGGAACUGCGUUUGAUACGGAUGGGCUAGAGUUCGGGAGAGGAGAGUGGAAUUCCUGGUGUAGCGGUGAAAUGCGCAGAUAUCAGGAAGAACACCGAUGGCGAAGGCAGCUCUCUGGGACGGUACUGACGCUGAGACGCGAAAGCGUGGGGAGCGAACAGG